UUUUAUAGAAAAAUAUCAAUGUAACUGCGGAUAUCAGUUUCAAUAAAAAUUAUUGGUGAUACUAUGGCAUUUUGAAAUGCUACAACAAUUUCUUGAAUAUGUGGUUCAAAUUUGACUUGCAUAGGGUUCAACGAAAAAAAAAACAAAAGUUAUAUAAUUUAGAUCCAUUUAUGUUUUGAAUUAUCUUAAUUUAAAAAAUCACUGUCUCUCCCUUUUCUAAUUGUAUAUGUUUAUUCUUUUUAAAAUAAAUGAUAUAUUGUGUUUGAUCUGAAGGGUGCGUAAU
rnacentral:lncRNA from 1 species